AUUGGAGGGCAAGUCUGGUGCCAGCAGCCGCGGUAAUUCCAGCUCCAAUAGCGUAUAUUAAAAUUGUUGCAGUUAAAAAGCUCGUAGUUGAAUUUCUGCUGCUUUGCAUUUUCUCCUAUACGAGUUUUUGCAUUGUGGCUUAUUUCGGUUAUAAUUUAUUAUUUCCGGAUGUUUACUUUGAGAAAAUUAGAGUGCUCAAAGCAGGCUUUUGCCUUGAAUAGUUUAGCAUGGAAUAAUAAAGUAGGACUUUGGUUCUAUUUUGUUGGUUUUAGGUACCAAAGUAAUGGUUAAUAGGAACAGUUGGGGGCAUUCGUAUUUAACUGUCAGAGGUGAAAUUCUUAGAUUUGUUAAAGACGAACUACUGCGAAAGCAUUUGCCAAGGAUGUUUUCAUUAAUCAAGAACGAAAGUUAGGGGAUCGAAGACGAUCAGAUACCGUCGUAGUCCUAACCAUAAACUAUGCCGACUAGAGAUUGGAGGUCGUCAGUUUUUACGACUCCUUCAGCACCUUGAGAGAAAUCAAAGUCUUUGGGUU
rnacentral:rRNA from 1 species